rnacentral:rRNA from 1 species
UGGCGGCGUGCCUAAUACAUGCAAGUCGAGCGGACAUUUUAAAAGCUUGCUUUUAAAAUGUCAGCGGCGGACGGGUGAGUAACACGUGGGCAACCUGCCUGUAAGACUGGGAUAACUUCGGGAAACCGGAGCUAAUACCGGAUAAUAUAAGGAACCUCCUGGUUCCCUAUUGAAAGAUGGUUUCGGCUAUCACUUACAGAUGGGCCCGCGGCGCAUUAGCUAGUUGGUGAGGUAACGGCUCACCAAGGCGACGAUGCGUAGCCGACCUGAGAGGGUGAUCGGCCACACUGGGACUGAGACACGGCCCAGACUCCUACGGGAGGCAGCAGUAGGGAAUCUUCCACAAUGGACGAAAGUCUGAUGGAGCAACGCCGCGUGAGCGAUGAAGGCCUUCGGGUCGUAAAGCUCUGUUGUUAGGGAAGAACAAGUGCGAGAGUAACUGCUCGCACCUUGACGGUACCUAACCAGAAAGCCACGGCUAACUACGUGCCAGCAGCCGCGGUAAUACGUAGGUGGCAAGCGUUGUCCGGAAUUAUUGGGCGUAAAGCGCGCGCAGGUGGUCCUUUAAGUCUGAUGUGAAAGCCCACGGCUCAACCGUGGAGGGUCAUUGGAAACUGGGGGACUUGAGUGCAGAAGAGGAAAGUGGAAUUCCAAGUGUAGCGGUGAAAUGCGUAGAGAUUUGGAGGAACACCAGUGGCGAAGGCGACUUUCUGGUCUGUAACUGACACUGAGGCGCGAAAGCGUGGGGAGCAAACAGGAUUAGAUACCCUGGUAGUCCACGCCGUAAACGAUGAGUGCUAAGUGUUAGAGGGUUUCCGCCCUUUAGUGCUGCAGCUAACGCAUUAAGCACUCCGCCUGGGGAGUACGGUCGCAAGACUGAAACUCAAAGGAAUUGACGGGGGCCCGCACAAG